CCACAAAAUCCCCUAAAGAAUGAAAAUGAAUUUCAGAGCUGCAAAAAAGGAACUGAAUUGUUUUUUUUUUUCAAUUCCUUCAAAAUAUUAGGAACAGAAUCUCAACUCCCAGGUCCGUUCUCAAUGAGAAAAAAAAAAAGUUAUUUGGCUUUGGUAGGAAUAAUAUAUACUCUGUUAGAACCAUGAAGUGAUACAAAUCAGUUUGAAAGUAGCAAGCAUCCCCGAGAAAGAAACUAUACCAUACAUACUUAACUCCAAGAACU
rnacentral:lncRNA from 1 species